UGGGGCUCUGGGGAGUGCUGGAAUCUGGGUCUUGGGUACAACCACCCAGACACCAGAUGGGCUGGGAGCAGCUGAUGUGGCACAGAGGGUUUGUCUUCCUUCCUUCUUGCUUUUCCCAAGGAUGCAGUGCUGGAGCAGCCCCUCUCACACAGCCUUGUGCCUGGAAAGGAAAAGGAAGGAGAAGAGGAAGCAAAACUGCGACAGGAGGGAAUCAGACCAUGGACAUGUUGGAAGCUGGAAUAUACAUCCUGCAUUACAAAGUGCAAAAUACUACAUGCUCAGAGCCCAAGCAUGAUGUCUGAAACAGUCCACAGCAAGAUGUAAGAGACAAACCCACCACCCUCC